GCGAGACGUAAUCCGGCUGAGGAGCGGCACCUUUCAGAGUCACUUAGAGUCUGUGCUGCAGCGCUGACCCUUCAGGAAAUAGUCAACUUCCUUCUGAACAAUGGAGGAAAUCUAUGCCAAUGUUGAAUAUGACAAGUCUGUUAACCCAAGACCUUCAACAAAUCAGACAGGUCCCAGGAGCUCAGAGAGGAGAUUUCAUGGAGCUGUUGUUCUCUGUCUGGGGCUGCUGAGUGUUUUCCUGCUGGCUGGGAUCAUCGGCCUCGGUG